CCUACGGGAGGCUGCAGUGGGGAAUAUUGCACAAUGGGCGCAAGCCUGAUGCAGCCAUGCCGCGUGUGUGAAGAAGGCCUUCGGGUUGUAAAGCACUUUCAGCGGGGAGGAAGGCGGUGAGGUUAAUAACCUCAUCGAUUGACGUUACCCGCAGAAGAAGCACCGGCUAACUCCGUGCCAGCAGCCGCGGUAAUACGGAGGGUGCAAGCGUUAAUCGGAAUUACUGGGCGUAAAGCGCACGCAGGCGGUCUGUCAAGUCGGAUGUGAAAUCCCCGGGCUCAACCUGGGAACUGCAUUCGAAACUGGCAGGCUAGAGUCUUGUAGAGGGGGGUAGAAUUCCAGGUGGAGCGGUGAAAUGCGUAGAGAUCUGGAGGAAUACCGGUGGCGAAGGCGGCCCCCUGGACAAAGACUGACGCUCAGGUGCGAAAGCGUGGGGAGCAAACAGGGUUAGAUACCCCAGGAGUC
rnacentral:rRNA from 1 species